rnacentral:lncRNA from 1 species
AAGUUUCAAAUUGACAUUCCAGACAAGCGGUGCCUGAGCCCGUGCCUGUCUUCAGAUCUUCACAGCACAGUUCCUGGGAAGGUGGAGCCACCAGCCUCUCCCUGGGCAAAGAGGCAGAGGAAUGGAGCUCAGAGCUUUUAGAGAAUAUGGGCCAGAAACAGGAAGGAGUCAGGACCUGAUAACGGGAACCAGCGGACAGUGAACGCAGUGGAGGGCCACUGGGGCCGGAGCAGCCGAGAGAUUUCAGGAGAAUAACUGGGAGAUGAAACAGGAAGCUCUAUGACACACUUGAUCGAAUAUGACAGACACUGAAAAUCACGACUCAUCCCCCUCCAGCACCUCUACCUGUUGCCCGCCGAUCACAGCCGGAAUGCAGCUGAAAGAUUCCCUGGGGCCUGGUUCCAACUGCCCACUGUGGACUCUGAGGCCUCUGCAUUUGCGGGUGGUCUGCCUGUGAUAUUUUGGUCAUGGGCUGGUCUGGUCGGUUUCCCAUUUGUCUGGCCAGUCUCUGUGUGUCUUAAUCCCUUGUCCUUCAUUAAAAGCAAAACUAAA